UACGGGGGGAGCAAGCGUUGUUCGGAUUUACUGGGCGUAAAGGGCGCGUAGGCGGCGUGGUAAGUCACUUGUGAAAUCUCCGGGCUUAACUCGGAACGGCCAAGUGAUACUGUCGCGCUAGAGUGCGGAAGGGGCAAUCAGAAUUCUUGGUGUAGCGGUGAAAUGCGUAGAUAUCAAGAGGAAUACCUGAGGUGAAGACGGGUUGCUAGGCCGACACUGACGCUGAGUGCGCGAAAGCCAGGGGAGCAAACGGG
rnacentral:rRNA from 1 species